AGAGCUCAGAAGAUGCUGUCAGAUCACCUGGAACUGGAAUAGACUGUUGUGAGCUGCCAUAUCCCUGUUCCUUAGGGCUUCAGAGGCCGUGCCAGUGCAAGACUGAUGAGAAAAUCCCGAAAUCAUCUGUGCCUGAAGGAAAACAACACACCUGGAGAGGAUGGAGUCGGGAGACGCCGAUCUCUGCCAAGUCACCGUGCACAAGAGCCUCUUCCACGGGGGAUGGAGACAGGGCUCAGCAGUGAAGAGACUUGUUACUCAACCGUUCUUACCCCAGUCAGUUCUGGCUGAUUCAACACCCUCUCCUGACCUCUGGGGCAUUCCAGUCACAUGGCACACUUACAUUCACAUAACAUCGUGGAAAGACGGCUCCGUGAGGAAGAGUACCGCUUGCCCUUCCAGAGGACCCACAUUAAUUCCCCAGCAACCACACGGUGUCUCACAGCAUCUAUAACUCCAGUUCCAGGGGAUCCGACACGUUCUCCCCUCCUCUGGCAUCCACAGGCACUGCACGCACAUGGUGAGCAGACAUGCGUGCAGGUAAAAUAUCCGUGCACACAAAAUACAAAUGAAGGUGAAAACACUGAACAUAUAAAAUAAAUAUUUGAAGAAAGG
rnacentral:lncRNA from 1 species